CACCGGCGGCCCGAGUGGUAGCCGUUUUUAUUGGGUCUAAAGGGUCCGUAGCCGGCUUGAUAAGUCCUUUGGGAAAUCUGGCAGCUUAACUGUCAGGCUUCUAAGGGAUACUGUCAGGCUUGGGACCGGAAGAGGUAAGGGGUACUCCAGGGGUAGGAGUGAAAUCUUGUAAUCCCUGGGGGACCAUCUGUGGCGAAGGCGCCUUACCAGAACGGGUCCGACGGUGAGGGACGAAGGCUGGGGUCGCGAACCGGAUUAGAUACCCGGGUAGUCCCAGCUGUAAACGAUGCGGGCCAGGUGUUGGCAUUACUGCGAGUGAUGUCAGUGCCAAAGGGAAGCCCGUUAAGCCCGCCAUCUGGGGAGUACGGUCGCAAGGCUGAAACUUAAAGAAAUUGGCGGGGGAGCACCACAACGGGUGGAGCCUGCGGUUCAAUCGGAUUCAACGCCGGAAAACUCACCGGAGGCGACAGCGAGAUGAAGGUCAGGCUGAAGACCUUACCGGAUUAGCUGAGAGGUGGCGCAUGGCCGUCGGCAGUUCGUGUCGUGAAGCAUCCUGUUAAGUCAGGCAACGGGCGAGACCCGCGCUCACAGUUGCCAGCAUGUUCUUCGGAACGAUGGGCACUCUGUGAGGACUGCCACCGCUAAGGUGGAGGAAGAAGCGGGCCACGGUAGGUCAGUACGCCCCGAAUCUCCCGGGCUACACGCGGGCUACAAUGGUUGGGACAAUGGGCACCUACCCUGAAAAGGGACGGUAAUCUCCUAAACCCAACCGUAGUUCGGAUUGAGGGCUGUAACUCGCCCUCAUGAAGCUGGAAUCCGUAGUAAUCGCGUUUCAACAUAGCGCGGUGAAUACGUCCCUGCUCCUUGUACACACCGCCCGUCAGAUUACCAGUCGU
rnacentral:rRNA from 1 species